CCCUUAGAUGUUCUGGGCCGCACGCGCGCUACACUGACGAAUGCAACGAGCUUAUAACCUUGGCCGAAAGGUCUGGGUAAUCUCCAAAUUUCGUCGUGAUGGGGAUAGAUUAUUGCAAUUAUUAAUCUUCAACGAGGAAUGCCUAGUAAGCGCAAGUCAUCAGCUUGCGUUGAUUACGUCCCUGCCCUUUGUACACACCGCCCGUCGCUCCUACCGAUUGAAUGGUCCGGUGAAGCGUUCGGACCGUGGCCUUUGGACGGUUCGCCGUCUGCUGGCUGCGGGAAGUUCGUUAAACCUUAUCAUUUAGAGGAAGGAGAANUCGUANCA
rnacentral:rRNA from 1 species